GCCUACAUCAGGAGGUUUUCCAGUCCUGCUCCAGUUUCUCUGUAUGUGAUCUGUGACCGCCAAGUGCUGAUCAGUGCCUAUAUCAGGAGGUUUUCCAGUCCUGCUCCAGUUUUUCUGUGUGUGAUCUGUGACCGCCAAGUGCUGAUCAGUGCCUACAUCAGGAGGUUUUCCAGUCCUGCUCCAGUUUUUCUGUGUGUGAGCUGUGACUGCCAAGCGCUGAUCAGUGCCUAUAUCAGGAGGUUUUCCAGUCCUGCUCCAGUUUUUCUGUGUGUGAGCUGUGACUGCCAAGCGCUGAUC